AUGAAAUGAGUCGGUUUUGGUUAAGGAGAGAGUUGGUGGCAAGUAUCCCGAUAACCACAGGCCCCGCAAAAAGAGUGGCACUUGUUACGAACAAAAUGGUAAAUAUAAAAAUGAAAUAGGCCUCAGGAUGACUUAAGUCAACUCAAGACGGAAUAAUAUAAACCCUUUUAAAAAGUUAUUUGUGACCUACCGACUAGAUUCUAAACUGCAUGUUAUUGGAUUGACUGUACAGAUCGCAUCCUUCUGCGCUCUUAGGUCUCCAGUGAAUGGAGGCCUGGAGGCUCAUUUAUAGAGUGUUGCGUUGAAGCCAUCCUUCAUUUGAUCUAAGACAUUUUCUGAAAUGAUCGUAAGUGUGAUUCAGAGAAAACAAACGUAGUCACAAAAAACAUGUGUACGCCAAUCCUUCAGUUAUAAAUCACAAAUGAUCGUGGAACUGUGCGGACCUGAAUGUUCUCAUAUCUCCGCCCUCAAAACGCCCCCUAAUGAAUUUAAGUAGCAUAUAAAUUGAGGGCAUUCUCAAGGCACAAACUCUCUGUGACAAUGCCAAACAAUGAGGGCUCUCCUGUCAUCACCAGCUUCCUCUUCGGACUGUCUUGCAUCAGAUUCACCAGAUUCCUCCACGAAUCAUGGUAGGGCAUUACCCAAGGCCGUCCUACAGACACAAAGGGACUUGAAUGAUUCUGAUAGUGAGGUUGUUGCCGAACUUCGGGGUGGUGGAGCCACAACAGAUCACAGUUCGGAGGAGGACAACUCUGCAGGAGGUUCGGAAGACGAACAACCCAUUCCAGGAAGAGAUGGACAUGGUAGUAGACACGUCUCCGAAGCAAGUCGAGCAGCACCAGAAGCAAGGGACUUGAAUGAUUCUGAUAGUGAGAUUGUUGCGGAACUUCGGCGAGUGCAGCAAACUCUGGAUAAAAUAUUCCAGUCUUUGGAAGUGCGUAAAUAAAACAUUCUGAAGUAAAUGUGAACAUGUGUGCAUUUGUUCUGUUCUUUGAACGUGCCUAAAUAAAACAUUCCGAAGUAAAUGUGAACA
rnacentral:lncRNA from 1 species